GGUGGAUCCGCUCAUGUCCGGGAGCUCCUUGAAAAAAUGAGCCUUGUUCUUAGGACACAGAGCAGAAAUGUACUCCCUCAAUGGCUGAAGCAGAAGUAAACAGAAAUACCAGUUUCAGAUUCGGAGCUGGUCCGGGACGGGGUCAGGUGGAAGAGGACUCCGGAAACCGCCUUGCACACGCAGUGAACACUCCAUUUCUUCUCCCGCCCCCACCCGAGGAGCUGCUGGAAAGAGGAGGAACUGGAGCAGAAGGAGGAGGGAACUUGUUUGGGGUUCCUGUGAGGAUUCCAUCAUCAAGCAGAUGGCAAGAGGACACCCCAUGCCCUAUGGCAGCUCCACGUGCAGCGUCCAGACUUGAUGAGGACUCAUAGAAGACAAGAGAUUGCCCUCUGCUGUGGCUUCCUCAGAGACAAAGACAUUUUCUCCAGAAAAGCCCUCAAACUCAUUUCCUUUUCAGUAUGUUGGCCAGAAUUGAGUUACCCGCUGAUUCCUGAGCCAAUCACUGGCACAGGGUGGGGUUACAUUUACACCAGUCAAGCCCACCUCAGAGUUGGGGGUGGACUCAGGUUCUCCCCAAACCGGAGGUGAUUUCCUGGAAAGAUCUGGUGUCCAUUAGGACAAAGCAAGAGAGAAGAGAUGCUGUGCAGAGGACAGCAAUGUCCACUACAUGUAUCAGUUUGGAAAAAAGCUAUCAAUCUAAUUAACUCCCUCAUUAAUAGACAAAGGCUUUUUAUGUUUGCUCAAAGUACAAAGUACACAAGAUACAACUCAGACAAGGUCAGAAAUAAAGGUUAAAUGCUUAGCCAAGAUAUAUGUACACAAAAAGGAAACAGGGAUAGAAAUUGCAAACAAAGCAUUAAAUAGGCCAAGAGGGGCAUUUUAAAUUGAUUGUAGAUGUUUACGAUUAGGAUACAACAAAUGUGUAUCUUCAUCGCAUAUCAUAAAAUGUAAAGCAAGGGCCUCCCCGGUGGUCCAGUGAUUAAGAAUCUGCUUUCCAAUGCAGGGGAUGCAGAUUCUGUCCCUGGCCAGGGAACUAAUAUCUCACAUGCCUCAGGGCAACUAAGGCCACAGGCUGCAACUACCGAUCCCAGCUGCCUCCACCAGAGAGCCCCCAGGUACAGAGCCCACACAUUGCAACUACUGAGGAGCCCUCAUACCCACAACUAGAGAGAAAGAAGUCCAUGUGCCACAAGAAAAGAUCCCACAUGCUACAUGCUGCAACCAAGACCUGACUCAGACAAAAAUGAGCAAAUAAAUAAAGAUUUUUUUAAAUGUAAAGCAGAGUUUCUGAAAAUGAGAACAUUAAGAGCCACGCAGUAAUCACGGAAAAGUUGGACACAUUUCUACCAGGUUUUGGCUGAUCACGUUGCCAGCAAAGAGUGGAAGCUUCCAAAUAAUAUAAUUAAUAAUGCUUAUUUAACACAUUUCUAAUUUAAAUGUCUCCUAACUGCUCUAGUCUGGGCUUAAAAGAAAAUUCAGUUGAUGGUGCCAGUGAGGAUCACUGUAGGCACCCAUCUGCCCAGGCAGCCAGUAACACCUUGAGAUGUCUCUCUGCUGUUCUUUCAGUCCCUCGGGGCUCCUAACCCCCAGGGCUGCCGCAUCAAUAAAGAAGACCAAGUCCUUACGCCCAUCUGCUCAGGAUGCCUCUUCCAGCUAUCCGGCCGCCAUCUUUGUUGCAUCUGGGUCAGUUCCACUGCCCAUCCCCCUUGCAGAGGCCUCAUUUCCCUUUCCUUCUCUACAGAAGACUAGAAGAGACUUUUAAAAAAAAAAAUGUUAUUGUGAGUAUGGUUGAUUUAUAAUGUUGUGUUGG